GACAGAGGGUGCAAACGUUGCUCGGAAUUACUGGGCGUAAAGCGCGUGUAGGUGGAUUGGUGUGUCAGAUGUGAAAUCCCUGGGCUCAACCCAGGAACUGCACCUGAAACUACCAGUCUUGAGUGGUGGAGAGGGAAGUGGAAUUCCUGGUGUAGAGGUGAAAUUCGUAGAUAUCAGGAGGAACACCAGUGGCGAAGGCGGCACUCUGGGCCGGUACUGACGCUGAGGAGCGAAAGCGUGGGGAGCAAACAGG
rnacentral:rRNA from 1 species